AGCAGUUACCCUUGGGGCGUCGGGGGUGGGGAGGGGUUGGCGACGGGGACGGAAGAACGGGGAAAGGCGGGGCCGGCGGCCGCGCCAGGAGCUAGCGUAGCUUCUGCCGUUAGGGCACCCUCCUUCCUUGCUAAACACCGACUCUCCCGUCAGCCUCCAUGUGGUGUUGUGUGUGCGCUUCCCAGUUUUCCUGAGAGUGAAGAUCUCGAAGGAUUUCAUAGGUAUUUUUUUUCUUUGCUAUGUCAUCGUAGUCAGUGGUGGCAGAAAAGCGCUGAAGGCCCGGCUCGUUAGGCGUGAGAGUGGCCAAAGUGUUUGAGUUAGGUAUGGGGCAGUUCACCCUGUGGCGAGUUAGGGUGGAAUGUUUGCCCUUGGGACGGCGUAACGGAAAGGCACGGAGGUUGGGCGGUCCAGGUUAAUUUGAAGGCUGAUUUUGGCUGAAGGUCUGGCGACAGCAUCGGAUCCCACGUAGCAACUUUGGCCUGGCGCAAAAGAAGGAAGCUCUAACCCUUGGGAGUCUGGACAAAGGCUUUGGGCUAUAGAAGCGAUUCCUUCGGAUGAUCCCCAUUUGAGGAUGAUGGAUGUUAUGGGAAAUCCUGUGCCCUGUGGAUUCGUCUUCAUUUACAGUUCCUAUUAACGACUAUGGCUCUGUCGUCAUGCCUUUGGUUUUUAUUUUAACCAUCUACAUUAUAAAAGGAUAAAAGGCAGAUCUUCAUAAAGAAUAAUUGUGGACCGGGCUAGAUUAUUUUCUGCAAGGGAAACUCAUGCAUUUAGAAUUUCAUCAUAACUUUGGGUUUUAAGGAAUAGUCAUUUCCCCCCACCGUAUCUGGAGAAUGACUUGUUACUCUCUAGUUAAAAUCAGAUGGAUCUGAGAUAAUACCUAUUUAAAUUUAGUCUCGUUUCCCUAUCAGGCUUGAUUAGAAGAUGCACAUUUCGUAUUGUUUAGUAAUGGUGAUCAAGUGUGAUGAAUCCUGGAUAAAAUCAAAAUUACUUAAAAUGAACUUCUUAAUUUCAAGCUUUUCAGGACUCACUUCAUCUUUUCAUAGGUUAGAAGUUCUAACAUCACUGUCUUUAAAUCAACACAGUCGCAAAAAUACUUCUGUUACAUUCAUAAGUAGAAACAAUUCUAAGUGCAGUGUACUUUAGGGUAUUUUGUGUGUUUCUAUUUUUGUGUUAUGUUCUAAGAGUAGAAUUUCUGGUGAAUUUGCUUAAGGAAAUGACCUAUGGGAACCAUAGGAAAAGUGCUCAUUUUGAGAACUGGUCUCUUACAGAUGGCCUCCUAGGUGUGUCAUUGUUGAGGGAUAAAAUGGUACGUUACCCUACCAGCUAAAAGGGAAAAAAGUUAAUUGUUAGUUAUAUGUGGCAAAUUAGACAAAAUAUUUUAUCUUGUCUGCUUGGAUUGGAAUUCAUGAGAUUUGUACUCCUGGAACUAUUUAGUUCAAAUAUUGUUUUUAAGCUGAGGAUAAACUAGAAAUUUUUUGAAUUUGAUAUGUUAUUCCUUGAAACGUCCCUACGUAGCUUGUAGAUAUAUUUAUGUUCUCAGGGCAUAUCCCUUUUUAAGUUUUUUAAAAAGUUGAGGAUAGACAAAAUGGCAUGUAUCUUACUUGCUUUGGAGCAAAGUUAAUUUGUAUAGGAAGGAAUCUUGGAACUUUAAUGUGGACAACUAGUACAGAAGCCAUUUAUAUAGUUUUUUAAACGUUGGUGUGGAUAUUGGUUUGUUGAAGGAACCAGGUUUGUACUCAUUUUUAUUUUUGGUACUGUGGAUUUUUCAUAAACGAUUUUUUUAGGGCAGUUUUUUUAGGUUUACAGCAAUAUUGAGCAGAGGAUGCAGCGAUUUCCUAUAUACCCCCUGCCCGCGCCCGUGUACUUUGUAAAUAUUUUAAUAGUAUUAAUAGUCAAUAUUUUAAGUAUCAAUUUGGCAUUGAUAAUUCAGAUGUAGAAUAUGGCCAGUAAUUUCUUGAUACCUUGUUAGUUGAGCUUGUAGUUUAAAAAGUAAUCAGUGGACCCUUUCCAAAGGAAAAUAAGCCUUGCAGACCUCAAAGAAUAUGUCUUCCAACCACACUUUGUGGAAGAGUGGUACUUAAGUGUAAGUACUGAAUUAAAGCAACAUUUCUUUGCACAUUAAAAACAUAAAUGUAUAAUUAUUAAUUUAGCAACUCUUAUUUGAUAAGAAUACAUUAAAUGUUGUAACUUUGAGUAUCUCUGAAAAUAUUAGAUAUAAAUUGCCUUAAGGAAAUAAGAGUUCUCAGCAGUUAAUACUGAUAAUCCCUAAACAUUCUAAAUAAAUGUGUUUUUAUUUUCUUUAUUGUCAUUUGGGUUUUCUUAGUGCAGGACAGCUUAAAAUGGAAUAAACUUGUUAACAUAAUAAGAUUCUUAUUUGAACAUUUUCUGUUUGGCUUAGGAUGAAUUUAGUAGUAAUUGUUUUAGGAGUUUAAGAUAAGGAUUAGUAGCAGAGAUUUUUUAUUUUAUGGGUAUUUUAGUGUUUGCCUUAAUUAUAUUAGAAUCAGGAAAUUUAAUUCCAUGUUUGGAAGUGUGAGCUAUAUGUGUAUAACUUAAAAUUUGUAUUCAAAUGGGUAGCCAUUGGUUUGAAUUUAUUACUUAAAAAAUUGGUUUUUGAAUUCAAAACAUUAGUAUUUUGUUCAUUUAUUGUAUCAUUUUGAAUGGUUGCCUUAUUAGUUUGAUUUGGUCUUAUAUUUUAAAAGGGAGGAAAACUGCAAGACAGUUGGACAUAAGGAGCUAGGUGUUUGGUUUUCUCAUGAGUGGAAGUGACAGAAGUUUUUUUGGGAACUUUUGAUGUGUUUAAAUUGUCCUUUUACUUGUAGAACACUUGUCUUUUUUUUUUUUUUUAAGUGGAUGUAAAAUUUAUAUACAGUGAAAUGCACAGACUUUAAGGAUAGUAUUCAUUUGAUAAGUUUAUACUCCCAUGUAACCAACACUCUAAUCAAAAUGUAUAACACUUUCAUCACCCCUUUGCUCUUGCCACUUCCAAUCAAGGAGCUAUUUAAUUUCCAGAAGAUUUUUGUUUUUAAAUAAUUUGCAGAUGUCUGCUUGGAAUUUGUACUUCGUUUUUGCUGAAGGAUGAUUAAUUUCCCCUUGGAACAAAGAAGACCAUUUUGUAAUGUCCAUAGUUGUGGUUCCGUAUUUUGCUUCACUUUUAAUAGGUAAUUCUGAAGGGAAUAUCCUAAUCUGGCGUGUUUAAGAUCAAUUACAGGGUCCAAGGAUUAAUUAUAUUUCAUUUUCUUUCCACAGUUAAGUUGCUUUUACAGAAUUAACAGGUCUCCAAGAAAUUUUAAAAAGAUCUCUUCUAGGAGUGAGUCUCAAGAUGCUCUGAAGUGACUGCACAGAGGUGAUCUUUUGAAGGGGAAAAUGAGCCUGACAAUGCUUUUUUAUGUGAAGAACAAAUAAGGUAAGAUGGUUUGUGAUAUAACUAGAAGCCUAACCACAAAAAAAAUUAGCUGUUGCCAGAAUAAGUCUCAGCAGUCCUUGUAAAGCAUGAAGUAUUUAAGAAGAAUAGCAAGUUAUUUCUCUGUCCCUGUCUACAUAUUUUCUCUACUUGUUCCGAAGAAAUCCUGUAUGUAAAAGGUUCUUUUUCUUCUUGGUACCAGUUUCAUAGAAUUUUACUUUCCCUGGUCCCACAACUCUCCCUAGUCUGCUUCCUUCUCUCCACAAUUGCUGUGUGGCAGAACACUAACGGCUUCUGCCUAUAGUUCGUUACGCCUCAGGACCUCUGUGUAUCUGUGUCCUUUGCCCUACAGGUGUUGCCAGGCAUCCUAUGCGUCCCUCAGACUUCUAAUUAAGAAAUCAUUCUUUGAUUCGCUAGACUAUUUAGAAUCCUCACAGCACACUAUAUUUUUUCUUUACAGGACUGGUCACAUUAUAAAACUUAAACAGUUACACAGUACAGGCAUACUUCAUUUUAUUGCACUUCAUUGUGCUUCACAGAGACUCUUUUACAACUUAAGGGUUUUGUGGCAAUGCUGCUUCAAGCAAGUCUGUCAGUGCCAUUUUUCCAACAGCAUUUGCUCACUUCAUGUCUCUGUGUCACAUUUUGGUAAUUAUUAACAAUAUUUUAAACUUUUUCAUUAUUAUUACCUGUCUUAAGGUGACCUGUGAUCAGUGAUUAUGACUCACUGGAAGCUCGGGUGAUGGUUAGCAUUUUUUUAGCAAUAAUAUAUUUUCUUUAUGUACACCUUUUUGCUUUUUGGAUCUAAUGCUGUUGCACACUUAACGGACUAUAGUAUAUACCACUGUAUGUUAACUGUGCUGGGAUUAAAAUAAAAGACUUAAAAAAGUAGACUACAGUAUAGCGUAAACAUAACUUUUAUGUGCACUGGCAAACCUAAAAAUUCAUUUGACUUGCUUUAUUGUGAUGUUCCUUUUGUUGCACAGGUCUGGAAUGCUAUAAUAUCUCUGAGGUAUGCCUGUAUAUUUUUUAAAUGUCUGAACUCUAUGGUAGAUUUUUAAAUCUUUGCUUUGACAACUCAGACCUUUUCUAACUUAUAAUACUAAAUCUUCAGAGUGAUGCCUGGCAUAUAACAGGUGCUCAAUAAACAGUUGUUGAAUGAACAUUUUAUGAGGUAAAUACUAGAUCUCCAUUUGAGAGAUAAGGAAGCUGAAGAAUGAAAAACUUGCUCAAUAUUACACCAUUAGAAAGUAGGAACGUUGAUACUCAAAAACGUAUCUACCACACAGCUCUGAGAUCCUGGGUGUUUUAUGAAUCUCUCCUCCCACGAGCUAUUUAGCUAACUGAUUAAGAAUACUGGUAAGGGAAGUGGUGUGACAGAAUAAACUAGCUAGGACCUCUGGAAUGAGAAAGAAAAUCUUGGGGUUCAAAGAGAUUGAAGGAACUUUAGUAAGAGUUAACAAAUGGCAUGUCAGAGGCAUUAGAAAAAGGAGAAUGAAGAUAACUUCUAAACAGGACUCCAGUCUUCUAGGAAAAGUAAGGGAUCAGUUUUGAACCUACCACUCAGUACAGUGUUUUUCUUGUAGGGAAUGGUGCCUAUCACACUCAUCAAGAACCACACUAAUCACAGUAUAGAGAGGAUAAAAACAGUGUCUGUAGUCAGGACUUUUGGGUUUGGCUUCCAGCAUUAUUAGUUAUGGGACCCUUUGGGAAGUUUCUUAAUCUACUUCUGCCUCAGUUUCCUCUUCCAUAGAAAGGAGGACAAUAAAUACUUUUGUCAAAGUUGAUGGGAGGAUUAAAAUAUAAUUAAAAUGCAUAGAUCAGUAGCUGUCCAAAGUAAUCGCUAUAUAUAAACAUUUGCUAUUUUAUUAUUUUACAAAUGACAGAUAAAAGCUUGAUCUGUUUUUUAAAAGAUAGGACAUGAAAGGAGUGAAAAUUAAGAAACCUUAGCUAUAGUACUUGGAAGGAAGGGAAACUUAGGAAGCCAUCUAUUGAUAGACAAUAAAUAGAAAUAUCAUGUGUGCAUAACUGAUAUAAAACUAAGAGGAGAUUUUGACAUUGGAAAACAUAUGUACACAUAUUAAAACAUGUAUCCUUCUUCAUUUUAGUCAAACUGUUAUCUGAUUUUAUGAAUUAGAUUUCCUGGAACCAGUGGAGUAGUGGGAAAAGGUGGCCCAGGUGAACUCUUUAUGGAUAGUUAGUUAAUGAAUAAAUAACUGGGGGUAUCUUCAAAACUGUCAACUGGCAGAUACUCCCAAAUUCUAUCACUCAUUAAUAGAGAAUUCUGGUUAUAUCUUGAGAUUAUUUGGUCUUUUUCACUUCUACUAUAGAGAUAAUAUGGACAAAGUCUCUGUGUAAUAUUUUAUCUAUUUCAGCAAAAAUACUUUUGUGCCUUUAUUCCUCCCUUUAAAAGGUAAGAGGGUUGGACAGUUACUCUUCAGAUGUGCUUGUUGAAGCCAGGCUGUGAUAUUUAGAUGCUCUAACAUUAGUUGGCUACUUGCAUUUGCAUCUAACUAUCAGUACAAAGCAAGCCUUAUUAUAAACCUACACUUAUUUCAUAGCAUACUGAUUAAAUCACACAAAACUGGUGAGAAUCCUGAUUCUGCUGUUUACUAGCUAAGUGGGUGUGGUCAAGUUAAGUUACUUAAAGUCUCUAAACCUGUUUCUGUAGUUAUAAGAUGCGAAUAACCACAGCACCUACUUCAUAGGAUUCUGAGCAGUGAAUGAGAAAAUGCAUGUGAAGCUUUGGGUAUUCUGCACAGCAUAAGCAAUCAAAUGUUAGCUAGCACUAAUCAAUGUGAUGGUUAGCACACUUAAGUGACUUACAUCACCAGUCAAAAUGAUACAGUAUUUCACGUAAUGGCUUAUUAACUAGCUGUUAAUAAAUUAAUUCUUGGAACUUUACCAUGGUGAAUUUGUUAAGUUAAAAAUACAUAAUGAGAAAAACAUAAAAGUUGAGCUAUUUGGGACUGCACACAGUAACACGAGCCAUUGUAGUAUUCAAACUUAAGAUAUUUUUACCCAUACAGAUUAAUGCUUUCUUUUAAAUAUUUCCAUCUUAAGAGAAGAACUUAACUUAGAUAGAUAUAGUCCUACCUCCAAAUCUUCUUCUUCAUCAAUCUUUUGUAUGUUUUGGUAGGCAGCAGUAUAGACCUCUAAAGCUUUGCCAUGAAAUAACAUUUCAAUAGUGAUAAAUUCUGAAAAUAUAGUCUAAAAAAAAAAACCACAAAGAUUUGAAUUUAAACAAUCAUAUGAAUUUGUGAAUUUAGUAAAUUCAUUCCUUAUUAUUGUUUUUGCAUCUUAUGAAAUACAGAGGUAUCUCUUUUUCCACAGGGCACAUCAAGUAUAAAAGAUAAUGGGAAUAAAAAUAGUUGAAAAGACUGUAGCACAACGUUGAAAUUAUAUAAAAUAUUUCUUAUCCCACCAUUUAAUUUCCUAUUUUUUAAUAAGUCAGUUCUUUGUAUACCUUGUAAUUGAUAUUUGUGAUAAAAAAAAGAUCUGACUAAAAUGUAUACCAUAUGUACUCUGUUACCAUAUGUCUCUAAAUAUUAGAUAAAGCAGGUCAGUUCUAAACCUGAUAUUUUAGUAACUCCAACUGAUGUUGAAACAAUAGUAUGUCUUUUUAGACAGGAAUUCUAUCUCAUCAUAUUUCUAUGUGUUACUUGUAUUCUCUAGCCACAAAGGACUUACUUGGUAAUUAUAUUGCUACUACUGAUAUAGCACCAUGCAUUUGUGUGGAGCUUUUCCAGUUUACGAAUACGUGACUUGCCUCCUGUUGCUCAUAGCUAGAAUGUUGUGACUUGGGUCUGAUUCUUCAAAGGUUAUAGCUCUUGCUUACUGUACUGUGCUCUUCUUGCUGGAAUCCAUCAUUUCCUUCACAAAUAAACUAUGCAUGUAAACUCUAUGGAGCAUGAUGACAGCUUACAACAAGGAAGAUAAUGAGCUAAGAGAAUGAAUGGAGAUGUGCAUGUUGAUUUAAGCAGGGGUGAAAUAAUCGGUAGGUAAGGAAAGGAUACAAACCAGAAAAGUUUUCAAUAAAAUAGGAUCUUAUCUUUUUGUUAAUUAUUUUGUCUCCUAUCAAAAUAAAAAAAUCAGAGCAUUAAUAUAGAGAGAGGAGUGGACAGAAUAAGAAUAAGGUAGAAAGUACCAAAGCAUUGUCCUUAAGGGGCAAGAGAAAAGAGAUGGGCUACAACAGACAAGAGUCAAAUACCCAUUUCUCUUUGUUGCUGCUCUCCUGUGUUAGUCAUCAAAUAGGAGUGGCCCUGCACUUUGGAAGACAGUGUUAUAGGUAUCCCUUAGUGUCCUGUGAUUUUUUUUUUCUCCUUCAUGUCCAUUCUUUCUUCCUUAAGAAUAUUUAAGGGAGUACUGAUAGGCUUCUGAUUACUACUCGAUGGAAACAGAUUAGUAGUUGAAAGUAUCCCUUCUGGCCUAAAAAGACUGGGCUCUGGGACAAGACACAAGUAUGACUAACAGUGACCCUUACUGUCACUUCAUAUAGGUCACAGAGGGUUCUGGUAUACUGGAAUGGCAACUGACUAAUAAGCAGUAUUAUGACCAAGAAUCUCUAGAUACCCGAGAAUGAAGUCGCUUUUGAUUAAGACUGGCACUUAUUCACUUAGUUGUCCGUCUUCCUAAGAUAGCAGUCUAGCUAGAAAGGAGUCAAGUGCCCUUAGGAGUGUGAAAACUCCAAGAGGGAAAACAGCAGAACCAGAAGUCAAUGAUAUGCCAAAACACUUAAGAUUCCUACUUGGUUCUUGGUCUGCAUCUCAUUUUAGGCAAUGGGAAUAAUCAAGCAGAGGUUUACAACUUUCCUUUUGAAUCUUAAAUUUAGAGAUUUUCUACAUUUACUAAAUAAAGAACUAUGUAAAAAAUAUAGACAUAGCUUGACUUUCUUUUUAUUCAAGGCUGUUACAGAAAUUUGUUUUCAUUUAUUUAGAUUUAAUGUUUCAGCUAAGUACAGUACAGAAUCAACAUUUUACAAUGUUACACAGUGCACUCUCUUUUUUAGUUUUCUUUUUUGGGUAUUUAUAAAUCAUCUGUUUACUUACGUGGAUCUAUUAUGUGGAGAGAGAAGAUAAGGUAUUUGCUUUAUGCUAUAAAAGUACUUGAGAAAUAAAGUAGCCUCAAAUAAGGGAAUUAAGCUUAAUCAGUCAAGUGAGUUAGGUAUUACUCGUAUUUUUAAAUAUUUCUAUAAGUGGACAUUCUAAAUCUUUAUAAUAGACUGUCAUGCUAUUUCAUAACUAGUGAAAUCCAAAUACUUACAACCUUAUUACACCUAAAUCAGUAGAUUAGGCUUAAUUCAAAUCUAUUCCACUGUGGUAACUUUGUGGAAUAUGCAAACAUUUCAAAAUAAUUUAAAACAUUUUUCAAGUAUUUGAAUAUAGUUAUUAAAUUUCUGAUGGUCAGAAUCUCUGAAUGUGUCCUCUCUGAACUAACAAUUUUUUAAUCCUAGCAUUUUAUAGGAUUUACAUUACCCUUAGCUCAUAAGUGAGCCCUGAAAAAUAUGUAGAUACGUCUGUCACUGAAGAAAGCUACAUUAUUUUUGUUUAUUCAUGUCCUCUGAUAAGAGAAUCUACUGCAUUCUCAUUUUAAAAAACACUGAUCAACUUUGAGUCUGUUACCACUUUCCAGUCUCAAUUUAGUUUCAAUUAAUGAUAAGUACUUUACAAAUUCUCUUUAAUCUAUAAAUGGCUAUUAUUUACUAUGUGGAAGGUGGGGGGGAGGGAAUCACUCUCAGGUUUUGUGAUACUUUGGUUUAAUCCUUUAUGGUUUGAAUUUUUAUUUCUUGACAAAACCUAUAUCGUAACACCUAAAUAAGACGAGACUGGCCCUACUGAUUUUUUAUACUGUUUAUUUUUCUGUCAAAAACCAUAAUGGGAAAUCAGAAGUACUGGUAAUCUAGUAUCCCAGACUUGGAAUUUUUGACCUAAGAGUUAUGAAGCCUAAAGAUUAUCAUAGAGAGUUAUAUCCCUGAGUAUAGCGAGGAGGGAAUACUGCCAAUUAAUUAUACUUUUUUUUUCUAGUUAGAAUUUCACAAAACAUCUGAAGAUAGGCAGAAGGAAGGAGAAUAAUAGCAAGGAACAGAAAAGUUAGGUGACACCUAGUAUAAGAAGAACAUAAAAAGCAUGUUUUUGAAAUUAAAUAGUUUCAGUGAAUCACCAUAAGGGUGGUGGAACUUUUUAGGACCCAAUCAUACUUAGAAAUAAUUUUCCCCAAAUAAAUUUAGCCUAACUUUCAGUGAUCUCAUGUAAUCUUAUCUGCAGUGGGUGAGUAUCAUCAGGGACAGACGCAUUAAUGAGUUAUUUUUUUUUCCCCUUUUCAAUUUUAUUUUGUAUGACUAGAGGGCAAUUUGGGCAUGUACUUAAUUUUUACUGGUAGGAGAUGGGGGAGCUAAUCUGAAAUUCUCUAUUGACAAGUAUUCUGUAAAGCAGGAUAGUAUAUAGGAGUUAAGAUUAUGGGCUCUGGAUUAAGAUAAAUGUGGGUUCCAAUCAUGACCGAACAUAACAGUUAUAUAAUAUAAGCAGUUUAUCUGUACUUUUCCUUAAUUUUCCUCAUCUGUACAAUGGGGGAUAAGAACAGUAUCAAACUCAUAAGUUUGGGGGUGAAGGAUUAAAUGAGAGAAUCCAAGAAAAGGUAUAGUAUGGUGACUGACUUAGAGUAAGUGCUCAACACAAGUUAGCUAUUUUUAUCACUCAAGAAGUAAACUUGCUAAGUUAGAAAAUGUUCCUUAUGUUAAUAUUAAAGCCUCUACCUGGUUUAAUUAGCAAGCAACACUUUUAACAAAAAAGUCAUGAAAGGUCUGACUAAUAACAUUUUGGCAAAUAAAGGGGAAAUAAUGACUCCAGAGUAGAGGCUAUUCAAUAAGUGAUGCCAGGAGAACUUUUACCUACUUGAAAAGAAUAAAGCUAGAUAUCUACCUCAUACCAUAUGCAAAACACAACUGCCAGAUAAAAUGUUUAAAUAUUUAAAAUAUUUUUAAAACUUACAAAUACUACAAGAAAAUAUAAGCAAGUAUUUACAAUCUUGAGGAUGAAAACAACCUUUCAAACAUGACACCAAGUAUGAAACCAAAAAAGAGACCAACAGAUCUGGCAACAAACAUAAAACUUUAUGGCACAAACACACCAUAAACAACAAAAUGGGAAAAUACAUUUGCAACAUUUCUCUUCACUAUAAAAGGUUAAUUCUCUCAAUAUAAGGAUUUUUUUACAAAUUAAUAAGCAAACUGCCAACACAAUAAAAAUACAGGCUGAGGACAAGUGUGGGUAAUUUACUAAAGAAGAAAUAAAUGUAUUAUUAAAUAUAUGAAAAAAUAUUGUCUUAAUAGUAGUAAGUGCAAAUUAAGAUUACACCGAUUUUUUUCACCUAUCAGACUAAUUAUUAAAAAGACUACUACUCAUCAUUGGUAUACUGGGUUGCUCAUGCAGGUUUUAUAGAAAUGUAAACCAGUUAAAACUUUGUGGGCAGGAGUUUAAAGCUUUGUGGACAGGAGGUAUCAAAAUUUAAAGGGUGUAUGCUCUUUGAAUCAGAAAUACCACUUUGGUAAUUUAUCCCAAAAGAACAACUGGAUCAGCAAAAAGCCGAAUGUUUAAUGAUGCAAUGAGAUCUAUACCUGCAAAAAUAAUGUUGAUAUCACCAAUAAGGGCUGGUUAGAUAAAGUAAUAUAUAUCCAUAGCAAAAAAUGUGAGGAUACCAAAAGGAUCUGUUUCUUAGCAAAUGUCUGUGAUAUAUUAAAUUUUAAAAAGAGAUGCUACAUAUAGUGUGGUCCACUUAAAUAUAACUGUAUAGGGGUAAUGAUAUUACCUCCCUCAUAAAGAUGUUGUGAGGAGUAAGUGAGUGUUUCCACAUAAAAUGCAUAGAAUAUGUGACAUAGUCAAUGCCUAAGAAAUAUUUAUUAUCCUAUCUCUUGUGUAUAUGUACAUAGAAAAAAGUUGUAACGACAUAAACCAAAAUGCUAAUUUAUUAUUUCUCAGUAGUAGGAUUAUUAUACUUUCUUAAUAGUUUCAUGCAGAAAAUUUAUGGUUAUUUUAUAUUUAGUUAUAAGAAAAAUAAAGCUAUUAAAAUUAAAUUUAGAAGAUGUUUCUUGUUCAUGUCAGCUACUUUGCCACAUACUGAAUUCCUGUUCCUCUCUGUUCCAGGAGUGACCCCCUGUUUAAGAUCCUUUCUGUAGGCCUGAAAUUCCCUUGACAUUCACCAUGUAACUGAUGAUUUUUCCUAUUAUAUGGGAAACAAAUGGGAUUGUGAUUUUUCAUCCACAUUCUGUACUCAAGUUCCAUACCAACUUUUCUCAAGCCAAUUUUUUGCAAGGUUCCUGUGAAGUCUUUAUCUAAAAAUUGUGCUACCUUGCUGAUUAAUUAAUUGUGCUACUUUUGCUGCUACCAAAAUUCAGAUGGACUUGUCAGUUAAACCUACCUCCCACACAGUUAGUUGUACAGUAAUCAGCAGUGCUCACUCAUUUCUGCCCCCAGAGAGGUUAGAGGAGCCAGAAGUUCUGCCCCCAUCUGAACCAGUAGCCUGAUAAAAGGUAAGAAUAAGAAUGUUCUAGGUUUGUUUCUCCCAAAAUUAUGAGUGGCAGCAACGAUUUUUACUUUUCCAAGAAUUUCUAUCAUAAACAGAAAUGUAAGACAUGCUAAAAUCAACAUAGGGGGGCAGUAGUGUCACUCUUUUUGACUCGUGUUUGAAACUUCUGGGAUUUGUGCAUCCCUCUUUAUCAUAAAAGAUCUCAAAUGAGGCCUGACUUGGAAAAGAAACAAUUUGAUAGUGAUGAGGAAAGAUGUAUAAAAUGGAGAUUCAGAACCCUAACAGAGUUUAAUUUUGACCUCUGGAACUCAUUUCUGGAAGUUUGGUAGAUCGUGGGGGGGUCUGUAUUUAAAGUGUAGGUUGUCACAGAUGAUAUAUAUCUUGUACGUAGAAAAUCUUAAGGAAUCUACUAAACUAUCAGCACUAAUAAAUGAAUUCUGUAAGGUUGCAGAAUACAGGAUCAGUCUGCAAAAACUGAUUAUAUUUGUGUGCAUUUGCAAUGAAUAAUCCAAAAAUGUAAUUAAGUAAACAAUUCCAUUUACAAUAGCAUGAAGGAUUAUAAAAUACUUAGGAAAAAGUUUGAGAAAAGAAACACAAAAAUGUAUCCUCUGAACACUAUAAAAUGGUUAAAAUAAACUAAGGAAUACUUAAAUAAAUGGAAAAAUAUCCCUAUGUUUAUGGCCUGAAAAAAUUAAUUGUAAGAUGGCAAUACUCCCCAAAUUGAUUUAUUGAUGCAAUUCCUACCAGAAUCCCACCUGACUUCUUUAUAGAAACUGAGAAGCUGAUUCUAAAAUUCAUACAGAAUUACAACAGAUCUAGAAUAGCCAAAACAAUCUUUGAAAAGAAGAAAGUAGAAGAACUUAUACACCCUGAUUUUAAAAUUCAUUAUAAAGCAAUGCUAAUCAAUGUAGUGUGGUACUGGCAUAGGACAGACCUAUAGAUCAAUGAAAGGCAAAGUUCAGAAACAAAACCAUGUCAACUGAUUUUUACCAAGGGUUCCAAGGCUAUUCAAUGGAAAAGAAUAGCUUCUUCAACAAAUGGUGCUUGGGCAACUGGACAGUCACAUGCAAAAAGAUGGAAGUUUAACCUUCAGCUCACACCAUACAUCAAAAUUAAUUCAAAUGGAUCAAAGACUUAAAAGAACUAUGAAAACUAUACAACUGUUAGAAGAAAACAGGGAUAAAUCUUCAUGAUCUCAGAUUCGGCAAUGGAUUGUUAGAUAUGACACUAAAAACACAAGCAACAAAAGAAACAAAUAUACUGACUUCAAGCAUAAAAACUUUUCUGCUUCAAGGAACACCAUGAAGAUAGUGAAAAGAACCCUAAGGAUGAGAGAAAAAAAUAAUUGCAAACCAUAGAUCUGAAAAGGGACUUGUAUCCAGAAUAGAUAAAGAACUUUUACCACUCAAUAAUAAAAAGACAACACAAUGAAAAUAUGGGCAAAGGGUCUGAAUAGACAUUUCUUCAAGGAAGACGUACCAAUGGCCAAUAAGCAUUAGCAGGGAAAUGCAACUCAAAACCACAAUGACCAACCAUUUCACACCCACUCGGAUGGUUGUGAUGAAAAAGUCUGAUGAACAGCAAGUAUUGGUGAGGAUGCAAAAAAAUUUGAACCUAAUCUUGAAGCCCCUUCGGAAAACAGUCUGGAAGUUUCUCAGAUGAUUACAGAUAAGGUUAUACCAUAUGAUGCAGCAAUUCAAUUAGAUGUAUACCUAAUAAAAAUGACAAUUUAUGUCCAUACAAAAACUUGUAUAUGAAUGUAUCGUUAAUCACAAUAGCCAAAAGGUAGAAACCACCCAAGUGUCCGUUAAUGGAUGAACCGAUAAACAAAAUGUGGCAAUACUCAUAUAAUAGAAUAUUUGGCCAUAAAAAGGAAUGGAUUAUACCCAUAGGAUACAUGUUAUGACAUGAGAGCAUGUAUAUAGCUAAUACACAUAUAUGUAUAUAAGUAUAGUUAAUAAUGAAAACAUUACGCUAAGUGAAAGAAGCCAGUUAUAAAAACCAUGUCAUGAUUCCAGUCACAUGAACUGUCCAGAGUAGCCAAAUCCAUAGAGACGUGAGAUAAGUAAGUGAUGGUUGCUUAGGGCUGGGGUGGGGUGGGGUGGGGUGGGAGGAGCAGUGAAGUACUAGGUCUUACUUUGAGGUGAUAACAAUGUUCUAAAAUUGAGUGGUGAUGAUUACAUAUAUCACAACACAUUAAAAACUACUGAGUUGUACAUUUUAAGUGGGUAAAUUGUGUGGUGUAUGAAUUAUAUCUCAAUUUUCUAAAAAGUAGGUUUCUUCCUGUCUAACACUUUUGUGACCACCAAGAGCCUUCCAAGGGCAUGAUACAGUAAGUAGGUAAAGAGAAAGCUUGGAAGCCCUUCUCUGUGCACCCUCCACUGUGCAGUCUCUUUCUAUGUCAAAAUGCUUCAGAAAAUCCCAGGUACUUGGAAUUGCAGUUGGGAAUUCUGCAUUCACUGUCUCUGCCUGUUCUGUAACUGGUGGUCACUCAGGGAAUUAAAAACACAUGUAGAGGUAGUCUGCCCCUGAAGUGAGCCCAAAGAUCAGAGACACAGAUUGCCAUGUGUACAAGGAAAUUUUGCAGGCAUGAGGAUCAGCGGGAGAGAGGAAUCAGACUGCCAUCACUGAAGAAGCCCUUAAGUGGCAAUGGAAUCAAGCAUACCUCACCAGUCUUCAUUCUCAUUGUUCAGGUUAAAGCUAUUUAUUUUAAUAAUCUUCUUUCCUUUCUCCCUCAAUUUAUGAGAUGAUGUCAGUGACUGUAAAAUGUUAUAUCCUGCCCACACUCUCCCACCUCAGUAAAUGGAGUUCGUCUCCUCUAUUAAAUGAGAUGGUCUUCAUGAGCAGUAAUCUACCAUUACAAAGCAGAGUGCAAAGUGAAUUGAGAGGCUUUAAAAAAGGGUUUUGGUCUUCAGGACCAAACCAGAGACUUUUGAGCAUGGUUAUCAGAAAAAAUCAAAGUUCUGAAAUCCUUUAAAACUGUAACGGGGAGAAAAAGGUACAAAUGAAUGUUGUUUCGUGGACUGUAAAGAGGAAUGAUAUAAUUAAAUGGCAGAUAAUUUUACUGAUAAGAACGUAACUUUUGAAAGCAAGAUGUUUUCUUUGUUAGUAGUUGUAAAAUGACAAAAGUAUUUUUCUUUAAAGCCUUUUUCUCAGAAAAUUUGCAGCAAGCCAAAACACAUCCUAGAUUACUUGUUUUAAAGGACAUAAUAUGGUCAUAAGCAAUCCUCCAAAUCUUUCCAAAUGCAUACGAAAAAGUCACUGAAGACUUCUGAAGUCUAUGAUCUGAAAGAUGUCAUAUCUACUGGUAUGUUGCAAUAAGAUAAGGCAAUUCUUAUGACACUGUAUCAUGGUGGAUGCAAAUUUAUGUGGUUGGCUACUCUUGCUAUUUUUUUAUGUGAUAAUAUCUAGUUACUAGAGAGCAUUUAAUGAGUGUAUUAUAAUGGAAAGCACAGAUUUUUAAAAUACAUAAUUGGUUUAUAGUUUCAGAUUUUUGGCUAUGAUACUUUGGGUAAAUUACUUUCUAUCUUUGCUUAAAUUUUAUAUAAUGUAUGGAUAACACCACCUCAUUCUUAUGAAGUUGCUAUAAAGAGAAUUCAUAUAAAGUGCCUGUAACAGCACUGGAUGCACAAAAACGUUAAGAAAUGUUAGUUUCCUUUGAUUAAAUAGAAAUGGAAUAAGUUGAAUAUCUGAGGAAAUAGGAAAAUAUCAUCUGAUAUAUUUUUAUUUAUAGUACCUUUUCCAUAUAGACUAUGGGCUAAAAAAAUCAGCAUUAAAAUUUUUCAUACAUUUAAAUAAACAAAAAAUAACAUUAGAAAACAUGUUGCAGACUUUAACAGUUACUUUAUUACCUUUAUAUCCUUUAUUUUCUGCUUUUCGAAAUUGUCAAUGGUUUCCUCUAGAUGACGAGUUGUUCGGGUAGCAUCCAUUGUAGCUCUCUGCAAUUCAGUUUCUGCCUACAAAAAGUAUUCCCCAACCAAAGAUAUAAAACAGUUCAAGUUAGAAUCCAUUCAACUGAGUCUAUUUCUAAAUGUUACAAUUGCCCUAUUGGCUUUUUGGCGUUAAUACUGUAAACUGUUCAAGAAUAUAUUUUACCACAUAAAAUGAUCUAUAUAAUAAGCAUGUGCAUAAUAAAGAACUUUAAAUCUAUUAAAUGACAUGAUUCCUGACCUCAAA